UUCUGGCUCAGGAUGAACGCUGGCGGCGUGCCUAACACAUGCAAGUCGAACGGGGUUAAGGGAAAUUUCGGAUGGACCUUAACUAGUGGCGGACGGGUGAGUAACGCGUGGAUAACCUGCCUCACACUGGGGGAUAGCAGCUGGAAACGGCUGGUAAUACCGCAUAAGACCACGGCACCGCAUGGUGCAGGGGUAAAAGAUUUAUCGGUGUGAGAUGGAUCCGCGUCUGAUUAGCCAGUUGGCGGGGUAACGGCCCACCAAAGCGACGAUCAGUAGCCGGCCUGAGAGGGUGAACGGCCACAUUGGGACUGAGACACGGCCCAAACUCCUACGGGAGGCAGCAGUGGGGAAUAUUGCACAAUGGGCGCAAGCCUGAUGCAGCAACGCCGCGUGAGUGAAGAAGUAUUUCGGUAUGUAAAGCUCUAUCGGCAGGGAAGAAAGGCCCUUAACAGGGAGAUGACGGUACCUGACUAAGAAGCCCCGGCUAACUACGUGCCAGCAGCAGC
rnacentral:rRNA from 1 species